rnacentral:rRNA from 1 species
UAGCGUAUAUUAAAGUUGUUGCAGUUAAAAAGCUCGUAGUUGAAACUUGGGCCUGGCUGGCGGGUCCGCCUCACCGCGUGCACUCGUCCGGCCGGGCCUUCCUUCUGAAGAACCUCAUGCCCUUCACUGGGCGUGUCUGGGGAAUCAGGACUUUUACUUUGAAAAAAUUAGAGUGUUCA